CCCUGGUUGGCUCAGUUGGUAGAGCGCUCCACCUAUAAUGGAGAGGACGCGGGUUCGAUACCCGGACCAGGCG
rnacentral:tRNA from 1 species